rnacentral:rRNA from 1 species
CCCGCUGAACUUAAGCAUAUCAAUAAGCGGAGGAAAAGAAACUAACAAGGAUUCCCCUAGUAACGGCGAGUGAAGCGGGAUGAGCUCAAAUUUAAAAUCUGGCUGGUUUACUAGUCCGAAUUGUAGUUUAUAGAAGCGUUUUCGGUGGCAGCCUGGGUAUGAAUCCUUUGGAAUAGGGUAUCAUAGAGGGUGAGAAUCCCGUCUUUGACUCAGUGCAUGCUACCAUGUGAUACGUUUUCAAAGAGUCGAGUUGUUUGGGAAUGCAGCUCAAAAUGGGUGGUAAAUUUCAUCUAAGGCUAAAUAUUGGCGAGAGACCGAUAGCGAACAAGUACCGUGAGGGAAAGAUGAAAAGAACUUUGAAAAGAGAGUUAAACAGUGCGUGAAAUUGUUUGAAGGGAAACGUUGACACCCAGUAUGCGGGUGGAAAAUCAGUCUUUUGCAGUGGGGAGUUGUGGGCGUUUCAGACCGCAAGGCUGGCGUUUGCUUCAUCUUUGUUGUAAGUGAUGCACUUUUUUCAUUUGCAGGUCAACAUCAGUUUGCUUUGCUGGACAAAACCCCAAGGGAAGGUGGCAGCUUAGGCUGUGUUAUAGCCCUGGGGCGAUACAGUGGAGUGGACUGAGGUUUCGCAGUGUGUGCUCUCGGGCAAGGCUGACUGGGUGCUAUGGGAUCGUUCGGCGUACAAUGCAUGCAUUUUGCGUCGUGUCUUUUUCAUACUCGCUCAACUCGGCUCUUCCACACUUAGGAUGUUGACUUAAUGGUUUUAAACGACCCGUCUUGAAACACGG